GGGGAUAUAGCUCAACUGGGAGAGCGCCUGCCUUGCACGCAGGAUGUUGCAGGUUCAAGUCCUGUUAUCUCCACCA
rnacentral:tRNA from 1 species